UGGGGAAUAUUGCGCAAUGGGCGAAAGCCUGACGCAGCGACGCCGCGUGAGGGACGAAGGUCUUCGGAUUGUAAACCUCUUUCAGCAGGGAUGAAGCGAAAGUGACAGUACCUGCAGAAGAAGCACCGGCUAACUACGUGCCAGCAGCCGCGGUAAUACGUAGGGUGCAAGCGUUGUCCGGAUUUAUUGGGCGUAAAGAGCUCGUAGGCGGUCUGUCGCGUCGGAUGUGAAAACCCAAUGGCUUAACCUUGGGCCUGCAUUCGAUACGGGCAGACUAGAGUGUGGUAGGGGAAACUGGAACUCCUGGUGUAGCGGUGGAAUGCGCAGAUAUCAGGAAGAACACCGAUGGCGAAGGCAGGUUUCUGGGCCAUAACUGACGCUGAGGAGCGAAAGCGUGGGGAGCGAACA
rnacentral:rRNA from 1 species